GGAUUAUGAAGAUUCAAGGCUCUGAGUUUGAGAAGAUAAUAAGGGAGAGUUUUGAAGUGUGCGAGGUUUUGUGUAAAUUCGUGAAUGAAUCGUGAUUCCCUAAAUAAUUGGAGAAUAAUGAAUACAUAGGGGAUUCAAAGUUAACCAGGCCCAAGAUGGUCAUGGCAAGGCAAGGCAAAAGGAUGCAUGUGGAGACCCAUGGAAGUGCAAUGACAUGGUGGGCUGCCAAGUUCAAUCAAUGCUUCCUCUCUUUUUACUUUUGAUCAAAUGUAUUAUAACAAUGUAGCAUGAUGUAAUAGAAUUAGGAAAUGGAUUUAUGUAAAAUGAUUCAUGCAAUGUUAAUGCUUAUGUAAUGAAAUGCUUAUAGAUAAACUUAUGUGAUCAUGAUUCAAUGUAAUAAGAACGCUCAUGGAAUGAUCAUGGUUCACGCUUGUAAAUGAAAAAGCUUACUUAUGAUUCAA